AGAACUGUAAGAGAAGGCGGGAUGGCGUACAGCAUAGGAAGCAUAGGAGGAUUAGCAAUAAACAGGCCGAAUGACAAAAACUAUAGAACAUGGGCAGUGAAAGCAGAGAUGCUGUUAAGAAGAGAAUAUUUGUGGUCAUAUGUGAAUAAUCCUCCAGCCCAAUUAACAGAGGAGCAAGAGGACCAGCAUAAGAGGGCUUUGAGUACUCUUAUUUUGCCGGUUGAAGACGGACAGUUAGAGCGUGUACAAGGACUGACCACAGCCAAGGCAGUCUGGGACAGAUUGAGAGGUAUUUACUUGAGAGAAACAGCAGGCUCGAAUAUUUCCCUAACCAGAAGGCUAUAUAAGUGCCAGAUGCAGUCUGGGGAAAGUGCCUUCAAGCAUCUACAAACCAUUAAGGGACUGUUCAAUGAACUGCAGUUAAUGAAUGUUCAUUUUUCAGAGGAGCAGAAGGUCUUCGUGAUUUUGAGCAGUUUAUCUCCUGAAUAUAAUAUGCUGAUUACAAGUUUGGAAAGUCUGCCUGACACACAACUGUCUCUUGAGUACAUUACAAAUAGAAUUUUGCAGGAGGAGGAUCACUGGAAAGAGAGAUCCCAAACUGCUGAAGGAAGCCACGUGGGAGCUGACAGGGAGAGACGGAGACAGAUUCCAGACAGCAACAUGAGAAGAAGGAUGCCAGCUACAGACCGAGAGCCACGUGGGCGUGCCAUGAUGGUUAAAGCCUGUUUUAAAUGUGGAUCGAGGAAUCAUCUUUUGAAAGACUGUGAAGAGAGACAAGAUUGUUUGAAAGGAGAGAAGUUUCCAAACAGAAGAGAAACAGAAGCAACAGAUUACAGAUGCUCUGCAGAAAGCAGCAGGAGAGGAAUUUCUCUUGUUAACAAAACAAGAGAUAAGGCAUCCAAGGUCGCAAACACAGCUGAGUGGCUGAUAGACUCAGGAGCUGUAAAUCACCUUACUAAUGAUCCAGAGAUGUUUUGUCUUUUAGGAAGCACGGAGCUGAGGAGCGUGACACUGGCAAAUGGACAGAAAUUAGACACUGAAUCACAAGGGAAAGUGUAUGUUCCCCGUCUGAAGCAAGAGAUAAAUAAUGUUUUACUGGUACCCACAAUUGACUAUCAUAUUUUAAGCAUCUCAAUCCUUGAUAGACAGGGGUUUUGUGUGAUAUUUGAAAAAGGGGAAUGCAUAAUUAAGAAAAACAACAGAGUAAUUGCAAGAGCAAAGCAAGAGGACAAUUUGUAUGUGUUAAAAAGCAGAACACAUAGAGACACACACAUGAUGCAUAAGAAUGAGCAUAAGAAUGAGCCCCAACAUAACAGUUGCAUACACUUGCUACACAGAAGACUUGGUCAUGUGAACUUUAAAACUGUGCAGAGAAUGGAGAACAUUGCUAGAGGUAUAAACAUAAAAGAUUGUAAAAAUUACUUGGAUUGCCAAGUUUGU
rnacentral:lncRNA from 1 species